GACCUGCGUAUAUUGGACCCUCUCUUGUCAUACCCUUCUACCCUUCUGGGUCGUGAGAGGGCCAUCGUCAUCAACUUGGAGCACAUCAAGGCCAUCAUCACCGCCCACGAGGUCCUCCUCCUCAACUCUCGCGACCCCUCCGUCACCCCCUUCCUUCAGGAGCUCCAGGCCAGGAUCCUCCGCCACCACCACCAGACUCUGGCCGAUGCCAACCCCAACCCUGACGACGCCAUCAAGAUUCUCCCCUUCGAGUUCGUAGCCCUUGAGGCCUGUCUGGAGGCCGCUUGUAGCGUCUUGGAAAACGAGGCUAAGACUUUGGAGCAGGAGGCUCAUCCGGCCUUGGACAAGCUCACCUCCAAGAUCAGUACUCUCAAUUUGGAACGCGUUCGUCAAAUUAAGAGCCGAUUAGUCGCCAUCACUGGCCGUGUUCAGAAGGUCAGG
rnacentral:lncRNA from 1 species